ACAAUAGUGAUUGAAGAGAGACAGAGAGAGACUAGGCUGUGGAGUCGGGAGAGAGUAGCGGUCUUUCUCUUCUUCGCAGUUCACAGCACAAACCUUCCCAGCCAGCGGACAAACUUCACCGAAGCCGUGAGAGUGAGAGGAACAAGAGGUAUCCCAUCUGGGCUCUUUCUUUAGGAGUAAUUCAGAAACCUUUGAAGCAAUGCACGUAAAUCACACAGUUCCAUGUCUUUUUUGCUCUGCAAAUCUCUUCAUUUUUUGAUUUUUUUUCUUGAAACAUUCUGCAUUAAUUAUGUUUGUUGAGCUAUCCCAUUUCGGAAUUUUCUGAAAAAAUACAAAAUGUUUUCCCAUUAAUUAAGGUACCCACGUGGACUAAUUGAUAAUUUGAUACUCGCAUCAUUUUACACGGUAGUACUACUACAAGAGCCACAAUGGAAUGCACCGAAGCAAAAUUCAAUGUAUGAAACUUUGUAUCUUUAUUACUUUAAUGUAUGCAUGUAUCUCUUGUAAGUCCACUGAUUUGCUUCUUCUUCCUUUUUUUUUUUUUUUUUUUUAAUUUCUUGUGGGCUUUUAUCAAGUGCUGAUUAUUUUUUACAGGUGAUAACUGAGAUGUUCGGGGUGAAGAGAAGUCAGUAGAGAGCUAAGUUAACGGCGGUUUUCAGUGACUUUCAAGUAUGCUUCUUGGGGUUUCAAUGUCUUUUUUUUUUCUUGGUGGUUCUCAAUUGAUUUCUUACUUGAAAAGAUGAGUCAAAAUGAAAUUUUUCUUUAGUUUCGCACUUCUUUUUCCUUUUUCUCUUUCUCUUUGUCGUAAAGAAAGUUAGAAGCGUAAAGGAAUGCAUUGGAUAAUCUGUGAGAUCUCGUUGACUGAUAACUGAAUAUUCCACUGCAGCUGAAACACCCCCCCCUCCCACCCCACCACACAAAAAAAACCAAAAAAUAAAAAAACCAUAAAAAAAGAAGGAAAAGAAAUUAAAAAUUCAGUCUUGUUGGAAUCAAUUCUGAAGAUUUGGACCUAAAUUUUCAUAUUGAAAGAUCUGUAGGUGGUGUUCUUCUUUUUGUGCUACUAUUUUUGUGCUCAAUUUAAAAUUUUCUGAUAAAUAGGAAUUAUAGAUUUUAGUGCUUUACUGAUUGUAUUGUAUCAAAUUUUCAGCUAAGUGACUUGUGGGAAGUAAGGAGGUGAUUUUCGAGUGGUUUAUCAACACUGGAUUUGUCUAAUGUGAGGCUAAAAUCAAGCAGGGUUGAAGUACAAUAAUAACAAAGAGAGUGUAAAAUGUCUACGUGGGAACAUUUUGGGGAAAUUGCAAAUGUUGCUCAGCUCACCGGUGUUGAUGCGGUGAGGCUGAUUGGGAUGAUAGUGCAGGCUGCUAAUACAGCUCGGCUGCACAAGAAAAAUUGCAGGCAGUUUGCAAUGCAUCUGAA
rnacentral:lncRNA from 1 species